GACGAACGCUGGCGGCGUGCCUAACACAUGCAAGUCGAACGGAGCUGAGAGAAGUUUGCUCUUCUUAGCUUAGUGGCGAACGGGUGAGUAACGUGUGAGUAACCUGCCCUGGAGUGGGGGACAACAGUUGGAAACGACUGCUACUACCGCAUAAGCCCACGAUCCGGCAUCGGACUGAGGGAAAAGGAUUUAUUCGCUUCGGGAGGGACUCGCGUCCAAUUAGCUAGUUGGUGAGGUAACGGCCCACAAAGGCGAGGAUUGGUAGCCGGACUGGAGGGUGGACCGGCACCAUUGGGCUGGGGACCAGGCCCGAACUCCUAAGGAAGGCAGAAGGGGGGGUUAUGGAACAAUGGGGGAAACCCGAAUGCAGCGGGGCCGGUGAGAGGAGGAGGGUUUAGGGAUUGUAAGCUCCUGUCGUUGGGGAGGUUAAGACCGGAACCUAACAAGAAGGCACCGCCUAACUAGUU
rnacentral:rRNA from 1 species